rnacentral:misc_RNA from 1 species
AACCGGAAGCCAGCUGGUGAUCAAAAUAUGAAAAUAUUGUGAAUGGAAAGCAUUCUUUUAUUUGAAAGCGAAAGUUUAAAAGAUUUUAGUUUUUAAUUAUUUUCUGACUUUUGUUUGUGUUAAAGCUGGGUACACUGGAACAAAGAUCCAAUACAUCGGUCACAGAAUCAAACAGACGAAGGACGUGUUAUUUCGGACUGGCAGGCCCACCAGAAAAAUGUCGAGAGAGUCAAAGCUCAAGGGAAGCAAAAUUCCCCGUUACACAGGUUGGCAGAAGGCCACACCACAGGCAUCCCAAGCCAGACUUGUCGCCACUGAUUCUAAGAUCACAAAUAAGAAGGACAGGUCGGACGAAAUCCCAAAAUGCCGGAGACAGAUACUGAAGGAUGAAACUUUUGAGAAAGAUAUGAAAGGUUUGAAAUUUGAACCUGAUGAAGAAUCUUUAAAGAGUAUCCUUAACAACCAAGGAAUAAGGCCAGUCACUGAUGAACGCAGGAAUACUACAUCAGCUUCGGGACACAGAUGUUCUGUGUACUACCAGCCGUCCUCGUCACGGAUGUCGCUCAUAGAGUCUCAGGCUGCGUUUAAGAAGAACAUGCAACUUCACAUGGAAGUGAUGAGGAAGUUGAAUAUAGGAACACCAGCACCCAAGAAACAGCAAGAUGCACAAAAGUCAGAGAAUAGUGGUAGUACUCACAAGAGACCUUGCUCUGUGUACUUUUCCCUGAAGGCAAAGCUUGAAAUGACACCCCCUACAAGGACUUCCAACAGUCUCCAAAACACUCCUAAAACCAAUGAUCGUAGAACGGGUUUCCCUAGAAACUGCCUCACGGAAAUAAAGGAAAAUGUGAUCAGCAACAAAUUGUCAGAAAGACUUUUAAGUGAAGAAAAGAAGCUGAGCUUGUGUGAUAGACAUAAGUCUGAACUGCAUAGGUUCACACUCUGUGACAGACAUUUGAAUGAGCAGCAGAAUCUCAGUAUGAAGGACAGAGGGGCUGACAGUGUUACAGGGAAGAUGAAUAAAACUGAAUCUGAGGGUGACACAACUACCGAAAAAAUUCCUGGCAGUUCUGUUUUACGGAAAGAUGUGGCAACUUCUCUCGCUCCUCUUAAUGAGGAAAAUGAAUUUGCUGAUGACAGGUCUACGCAUGAAAUACUCAAUCCAGCUGUGGUUAGUAUGAAUGACGCGAGUGCCUCAAGCGUAACUCACCUAGUGUGGUCGAGCCAGAGAACAGUCUGUACGCCAACCAACUCUGUGUCGACUGUUAUGGCCAACUCUGGUGAUUUUUCUCGGGUCAGAGAGUACCCACAUGGCUCUACAUCUGCCUCAAUGGUCUCUGGCACCCCCCACAGGCUUGACUUUGGGGAAGAAAUGCCAGGGGCUGCGGCAUCAUCGUCUGCGAACGUUGCACAAAAUGUGACGCCUCGCCAGAGAGUGCUGAAUGGUACCGAGUGUGUGAACGGUGUGUGUAGGACUCCUGUUACUCGAGGCAAUAGCUUAAACACAAUCCAUGGUCUCAGACGAGGGGCCGGUACUCCGACUUUCCAAGCCUGGACGCCUUCCCCUGCCCCAGCCCGCGUGACUAGCGUGUCAAAAGGAGGGAUGGGAGGGCUGCCUGGACGAACGCCCGUACUCUCUUCCUGUCUGAAGAAAAAGCUCUCCCUUGAUUUUGUCUCCAGGUUGGCCAGACGAUACAGCAAGGGACACAAUCCACCACAAAGAAGAAACUGCGAUGGUUAGACGUAUCAAGCCAGUAGUUUACAGACAGGUUCCUGUGAACAGAAGCUUUGGGAACCAGUCAAGAAUACCUUUAUUUGAUACUUGAAUUGGAAUGUCGCUCCUGAGGGUAUUGUUGGUUGUCGAGUGACCGGAUUCGUCCAUCGAAGAGAAUAAGCUGAGCUAAACAAAAUGGAGUACCGGCUCAAGACGUCGGCGGGAGAAGCUGCUGUAGGAUGUCAUAGUUUUUGGCUGAGCCUGAAUAAAGUGAGAAUAGAGGACAACUCAUGACUACUACUUGACA